UACGGAGGGGGCUAGCGUUGUUCGGAAUUACUGGGCGUAAAGCGCACGUAGGCGGCUUUGUAAGUUAGAGGUGAAAGCCCGGAGCUCAACUCCGGAAUUGCCUUUAAGACUGCAUCGCUCGAAUCAUGGAGAGGUGAGUGGAAUUCCCAGUGUAGCGGUGAAAUGCGUAGAUAUUGGGAAGAACACCGGUGGCGCAGGCGACUCGCUGGGCUGUAACUGACGCUGAGGAACGAAAGCCAGGGGAGCAAACGGG
rnacentral:rRNA from 1 species